AGUACCUCAAAGAACUCCACAAGC
rnacentral:rasiRNA from 1 species